UUGUCAGUGCUGGUUUCUUUAAUGCAUGUUUUUUUACUUAUUAAGUUAGUACAGACAUUGCACAAUUUUUUUUUUUCUUUAAAGAACAUCAGAAAAUAUACAAAUAAUAAUAACUAAGCAAACUUUGUAAACCCAAAUAAAAUAACUUGUAGGGAAAAAAAAGUUUAAUUUGAUAGUAAAAUGACCAAAACAUAGCUAUGAAAUGACCUUUUUUUGUCUCCGUUUGAGACUGAAAGAUAUUGAAUUAAUUUAUGAGCUGUGGUUCAACAUGUGCAACACUAGCACGAUGUUAGGUAAUUAUAAUUAGUUGUGGAGCAGCAACAGGUUAAUUAAUUGCUUUGUUUUUCCAGUUGCACACAAGGCAGCUAAACAUUUACAUGUGAUCUAAUUAGUUUGAGCAUUCUGCGAUAUUUGCUUCACACCAAUUAAAUCUUAAAGGUGAGCUCUUAAUUUCUGUUGUUCUUUUUUUCUGUAAAACGUAAAUGGCCAUCAACGUGCAUAAUGAGUUUACUUUCUUUUUGAGUAUUAUUUAAAGGCGUCUAAAAAUAGAGCGCUUUUUUCUGUGCGUCCCUCUCCCCUUGCUUCAGAAAGCAGCCUGUUUGGCAGGAGAAAUGUCGGAAGUGCCGUAGUUUAUGUAUGCUAAUAGGGGGAGUUGGGGGUUGUAGCUAGAUAUUUACGUUCAGUGGGAGCCGCCCUUCAUUCACCCACAUGGUUACCAACUGGUCGCCUUCGCGCCACUUUCUUAACCCCGCAAUCAUUUAUAAGAAGCUUCUCUGGGGUCCAAAUGGGCUCUUAGUUCGUUCCGAUUUCACUUUGUGUUUCGUUUUAGUCCGCUGUUUGAAAAGUUUUCGGGAUGGUAGCGGUUUUAUUCGCCUCUUUUGUCGGCGUGAGACCAGCAGCCCGAGCAAGUGAGCGAAGAUGGUGGAUUUCGGCUGAUUCACCACGAGGUGCAGAGCCCCCAUGCUGUGGACAUUUGGGACCAUCUCCGCUUUAAUGGAGAGCAGUGAUGCAGUCUGUGCAUUGCCAAAGUGCUUACAGUGCAGGUGGGGAUCGGUGGCAAUGCUGUACUGCUGGAGGUAUUGCACUUGUCCCGGCCUGUAAAGGAGCGGGGAGCUGACCUGACCUCAACCUAGCCAAACUGUUGCAUUCCUAUGAUGUCCUGUGUUUCUGUAAUCUGUACGAGCUGCAUGCAUGUUGCCAUUUUGUGUUCCCAUUUCAUCUGGGUCCUUGUGAGGUUGAAAAUAAAAAAAAAGUUAAAGCAAAA